GACAGAGGGUGCAAACGUUGUUCGGAAUUACUGGGCGUAAAGCGCGUGUAGGCGGCCAUCUAAGUCGGGCGUGAAAUCCCACGGCUCAACCGUGGAAGUGCACUCGAAACUGGAUGGCUAGAGUCCUGGAGAGGAAGGUGGAAUGCUUGGUGUAGAGGUGAAAUUCGUAGAUAUCAAGCGGAACACCGGUGGCGAAGGCGGCCUUCUGGACGACAACUGACGCUGAGACGCGAAAGCGUGGGGAGCAAACAGG
rnacentral:rRNA from 1 species